GAUGAACGCUGGCGGCGUGCCUAAUACAUGCAAGUCGAGCGAACGGACGAGAAGCUUGCUUCUCUGAUGUUAGCGGCGGACGGGUGAGUAACACGUGGAUAACCUACCUAUAAGACUGGGAUAGCUUCGGGAAACCGGAACUAAUACCGGAUGAUAUUUUGAACCGCAUGGUUCAAAAGUGAAAGACGGUCUUGCUGUCACUUAUAGAUGGAUCCGCGCUGCAUUAGCUAGUUGGUAAGGUAACGGCUUACCAAGGCAACGAUGCAUAGCCGACCUGAGAGGGUGAUCGGCCACACUGGAACUGAGACACGGUCCAGACUCCUACGGGAGGCAGCAGUAGGGAAUCUUCCGCAAUGGGCGAAAGCCUGACGGAGCAACGCCGCGUGAGUGAUGAAGGUCUUCGGAUCGUAAAACUCUGUUAUUAGGGAAGAACAUAUGUGUAAGUAACUGUGCACAUCUUGACGGUACCUAAUCAGAAAGCCACGGCUAACUACGUG
rnacentral:rRNA from 1 species